AUUUGAUCAUAUUCAAUUUUAGAGCCAAAAGCAACAAAUAGUUAUGAGUGCGGCUAUUAUGUCAUGAUACACAUGUUGAACAUUGUAUCUGCUGAUGUUGUUGGUUCAUGGACCCAAGUACUGUUACAAUUUUAAUGAUAUGCAGUUGCCCCAACACAUUAAGAAGGGAUAUGAAGUUUUUUCAAGACUUGGAAUAAUUCAUUAUUGGAUGCAAUUGAACAAAGUUUCGAAGCUUAUUCACAAAUGUACCA